UACGUAGGGUGCAGGCGUUAAUCGGAAUUACUGGGCGUAAAGCGUGCGCAGGCGGUUGUGUAAGACAGGUGUGAAAUCCCCGGGCUUAACCUGGGAACUGCGCUUGUGACUGCACGGCUAGAGUACGGCAGAGGGGGGUGGAAUUCCACGUGUAGCAGUGAAAUGCGUAGAUAUGUGGAGGAACACCGAUGGCGAAGGCAGCCCCCUGGGCCGAUACUGACGCUCAUGCACGAAAGCGUGGGGAGCAAACAGG
rnacentral:rRNA from 1 species